CUUCGAGGAGGAAAUCGCUGCUCUCUGCUCCUUCCUGUAGUAACAGCCGCCGCCGCCGCCGCCGCCGGGAGCCCGGGCCGCGAGCGAGAGCCGCGGGGCUGACAGCCGGCCCCGCCGCCGGACGGCUCGGCGCCACCAGGUGAACGGACAUGGCGGGCUGGAUCCAAGCCCAGCAGCUGCAGGGAGAUGCGCUGCGCCAGAUGCAGGUGCUGUACGGGCAGCACUUCCCCAUCGAGGUUCGGCACUACUUAGCGCAUUGGAUCGAGAGCCAGCCGUGGGAUGCCAUCGACCUGGACAAUCCCCAGGACCGAGCCCAGGCCACCCAGCUCCUGGAGGGCCUGGUGCAGGAGCUGCAGAAGAAGGCGGAGCACCAAGUGGGGGAAGAUGGGUUCUUACUGAAGAUCAAACUGGGGCACUAUGCCACGCAGCUCCAGAACACGUAUGACCGCUGCCCCAUGGAGCUGGUCCGCUGCAUCCGGCAUAUUCUGUACAACGAACAGAGGCUGGUCCGAGAAGCCAACAAUGGUAGUUCUCCAGCUGGGAUCCUGGUGGACGCCAUGUCCCAGAAACACCUCCAGAUCAACCAGACGUUUGAGGAGCUGCGACUGGUCACACAGGACACAGAGAAUGAGCUGAAGAAGCUGCAGCAGACUCAAGAGUACUUCAUCAUCCAGUAUCAGGAGAGCCUGAGGAUCCAGGCUCAGUUUGCCCAGCUGGCCCAGCUGAAUCCGCAGGAGCGCCUGAGCCGGGAGACGGCCCUCCAGCAGAAGCAGGUGUCCCUGGAGGCCUGGCUGCAGCGGGAGGCCCAGACGCUGCAGCAGUACCGUGUGGAGCUGGCCGAGAAGCACCAGAAGACCUUGCAGCUGCUGCGGAAGCAGCAGACCAUCAUUCUGGAUGAUGAACUGAUCCAGUGGAAGCGGCGGCAGCAGCUGGCGGGGAAUGGAGGGCCCCCCGAGGGCAGCCUGGAUGUGCUGCAGUCCUGGUGCGAGAAGUUGGCCGAGAUCAUCUGGCAGAACCGGCAGCAGAUCCGCAGAGCUGAGCACCUCUGCCAGCAGCUGCCCAUCCCUGGCCCAGUGGAGGAGAUGCUAGCUGAGGUCAAUGCCACCAUCACAGACAUCAUCUCAGCCCUGGUGACCAGCACAUUCAUCAUCGAGAAGCAGCCCCCUCAGGUCCUGAAGACCCAGACCAAGUUUGCAGCGACGGUGCGCCUGCUGGUGGGCGGGAAGCUGAACGUGCACAUGAACCCCCCCCAGGUGAAGGCCACCAUCAUCAGUGAGCAGCAGGCCAAGUCACUGCUCAAGAAUGAGAAUACCCGCAACGACUACAGUGGAGAGAUCCUGAACAACUGCUGUGUGAUGGAAUACCACCAAGCCACCGGCACCCUGAGCGCGCACUUCAGGAACAUGUCACUAAAGAGAAUUAAGCGUGCUGACCGGAGGGGCGCAGAGUCUGUGACGGAGGAGAAGUUCACAGUCCUGUUUGAGUCUCAGUUCAGUGUCGGCAGCAAUGAGCUUGUGUUCCAAGUAAAGACUCUGUCCCUUCCCGUGGUUGUCAUCGUUCAUGGCAGCCAGGACCACAACGCUACUGCCACUGUGCUGUGGGACAACGCCUUCGCCGAGCCGGGCAGGGUGCCAUUUGCCGUGCCUGACAAAGUGCUGUGGCCGCAGCUGUGUGAGGCGCUCAACAUGAAAUUCAAGGCCGAAGUGCAGAGCAACCGGGGCCUGACCAAGGAGAACCUCGUGUUCCUGGCACAGAAACUGUUCAACAGCAGCAGCAGCCACCUUGAAGACUAUAAUGGCAUGUCCGUGUCCUGGUCCCAGUUCAACAGGGAGAACUUGCCGGGCUGGAACUACACCUUCUGGCAGUGGUUCGAUGGGGUCAUGGAGGUGCUGAAGAAGCAUCACAAGCCUCAUUGGAAUGACGGGGCCAUCCUAGGUUUUGUGAAUAAGCAACAGGCCCAUGACCUGCUCAUCAACAAACCCGAUGGAACCUUUUUAUUGCGCUUUAGCGACUCUGAAAUCGGGGGCAUCACCAUUGCCUGGAAGUUUGACUCUCCUGACCGCAACCUUUGGAACCUGAAGCCGUUCACCACGCGGGACUUCUCCAUCCGGUCCCUGGCUGACCGGCUGGGGGACCUGAGCUAUCUCAUCUAUGUAUUUCCCGACCGACCCAAGGAUGAGGUCUUCUCCAAGUAUUACACCCCUGUGCUCGCUAAAGCGGUGGACGGAUACGUGAAGCCACAGAUCAAGCAAGUGGUCCCUGAGUUUGUGAAUGCGUCUGCAGACUCUGCCGGGGCCAGCGCCACCUACAUGGACCAGGCCCCCUCCCCAGCCGUGUGCCCCCAGGCUCAUUAUAACAUGUACCCACAGAACCCUGACCCCGUCCUUGACCAGGAUGGAGAAUUUGACCUGGAUGAGACCAUGGAUGUAGCCAGGCAUGUGGAGGAACUCUUACGCCGCCCGAUGGACGGUCUGGACCCCCGCCUCUCCCCGCCUGCUGGUCUUUUCACCUCUGCCCGAGGCUCGCUCUCGUGAAUGCUUGAAUCCCCCACUUCUCUUUGGGAACAACGCUCAGUGUGAGGGGUUCAUAUGAAUUGUGAUGUUAGCAUUGCUGUGCAUACUGAUGCCUCUGCUGGCAGCACAUGUGCACGUGUGUGUGCGCAUGGGCGCACGAGGUGGGCCUGCCUUGCCUUUGCCCUCUGGGUACGUGGUUGCGGCGGCACCACCACCUUUCUCUUCAGAUCAAGGCAUCCCAACAGCCCGCCGGGCGCAUCUCUGUUGUGGAAGGGCGCUCAGCUUCCUCUGCUCAAUGCAGGCAAACCUAUUCCGCCGCCGGGGCCUUUACUGCCUAGCAGCUGUUUGAAUGAAAUUAGUCAAGAAGGGGCACGGAGACAGGCAGGACGACAGGGAUGGCCGAGCGCAACCUGUUUGUCUUGGAGAGAAGGUCCUCAUCCCCUUAAUUCUGAAACUGGAUUCCUAAAGCAAACAGGACAAGGGGGCCUUCAGACACUGGAAGGAGCCACACACAAGGGGG